rnacentral:rRNA from 1 species
AUGGACGAUGGACAUGCAUGUACUUUCCUUCCUCAAGUAGUCCUCCUCCUCGGCGUCCUCCGCGGGCGUCCACGAUGCCGGCCGCCACAGCCGGGACUACGUCGAGCGCGGCCCCCCAACGGGGACUUCUACACGGGGCAGUGGCGCGGCGGCGUGCCGCACGGCGACGGGAAGUACCUGUGGACGGACUGGUGCAUGUACGAGGGGGAGUGGUGGCACGGCAAGGCCACGGGCCGGGGCAAGUUCUCCUGGCCGUCAGGCGCCACCUACAGGGCGAGUUCAAGGACGGCUUCAUGGACGGCGACGACACCUGCACCAUCGCCGCCGGGGACCCAUACAAUGCCUUCUGGUCUAUGA